rnacentral:rRNA from 1 species
GACGAACGCUGGCGGCGUGCUUAACACAUGCAAGUCGAACGGAAAGGCCCUGCUUUUGUGGGGUGCUCGAGUGGCGAACGGGUGAGUAACACGUGAGUAACCUGCCCUUGACUUUGGGAUAACUUCAGGAAACUGGGGCUAAUACCGGAUAGGAGCUCCUGCUGCAUGGUGGGGGUUGGAAAGUUUCGGCGGAUGGGGUUGGACUCGCGGCCUGUCAGCUUGCGGGUGGGGUAGUGGCUUACCAAGGCUUUGACGGGUAGCCGGCCUGAGAGGGUGGCCGGCCACAUUGGGACUGAGAUACGGCCCAGACUCCUACGGGAGGCAGCAGUGGGGUAUAUUGCACAAUGGGCGGAGGCCUGAUGCAGCAACGCCGCGUGCGGGAUGACGGCCUGCGGGUUGUAAUCCGCAUUCGCCUGUGACGAAGCGUGAGUGACGGUAAUGGGUAAAGAAGCACCGGCUAACUUCGUG